rnacentral:lncRNA from 1 species
CAUUCGUUUGCAGUUAGUGACCAGGGGUAAAUUUUCAUACUUUAAAUUUGCUUUCUGCUUUCUCUAAUCUGAUGAUUUCUGGGGACCUCACCAUUUUGAAGACUGGCUCUGAGAUCUGGAGGAAAAUAAAAUAGGAAACACCCUCCCUUCGUGCCCAUCGUUCAGGAUCCAAGCGCCUGUUCUAUCUUCUUCAGGAAGCUUCCUCCAGUUACUUCAGUUUACACAAACUCAUUGUCCUCCGAAUUUCAACAACAUGGAUCAUUAGUGGUAGAGACUGCUAACACCCACCAAGUGCCCACUCUGAGAGAGAGAUGGAUAAGUGUGAGAUUUGAAGAAAAAACUUGAACCCAAGAAUCGCCUUUUCAGCAUCUUUUGAUCUCCUUUGAUACUUUCAUAGGGCCUGGAACAUCUUGCGUGUUGAGUAACAGAAUAUUGAGUAAACAGGUGUCUACAGCAGGAUAAGGCAUCUGCUGUUCUCAUAAUCGAAAGGUAACAUGGAGGGAGAAGGGGGAUUGGAGGAAGGUGGUCAAAAGUACAAACUUCUUGUUAUAAGAUAAAUAAGAACUAGGGCUGUAAAGUACUAUGUAAUCAUUAUAGUUAACACUGCUGUAGGGUAUAGAGGAAAGUUGUUCCUAAGAGUUCUUAUGGAGUUCCUGUGGUGGCUCAGUGGUUAAUGAAUCCGACUAGCAUCCAUGAGGAUGCAGGUUUGAUCCCUGGCCUUGCUAAGUGGGUUAAAGAUCUGGCAUUGCAUGAGCAGUAGUAUAGGUUACAGACAAGGCUUGGAUCCAGCACUGCUGUGGCUGUGAUAUAGGCCAGUAGCUAUAGCUCCAAUUCAAACCCUAGCCUGGGAACCUCCGUAUGCUACAGGGGCAGACCUAAAAAGACAAAAAAAAAAAAAAAAAAAAGAGUUCUUAUCACAAGGAGAAUUUUUUUCUUUUUUUAAAUUGUGUCUAUAUGAGAUGAUGCAUGUUUAAACCUAUUGUAAUUCUUUCACACCAUAUAUAAAUCAAAACAUUAUGCUGUACACCUUAAACUAUGUAGUGAUACGUGUCAACUACUUCUCAAUAAAACUGGAAAAAUAAAAAUGACA